UACGUAGGCAGCAAGCGUUGUUCGGAAUUACUGGGCGUAAAGAGUGUGUAGGCGGUGCUCUAAGUCUGUUGUGAAAUCUCCCGGCUUAACCGGGAGGGUGCGGCGGAAACUGGAGUGCUUGAGGGUGGGAGAGGUAAGCGGAAUUCCUGGUGUAGCGGUGAAAUGCGUAGAUAUCAGGAGGAACACCUGUGGUGUAGACAGCUUACUGGACCACUUCUGACGCUGAGACACGAAAAGCGUGGGUAGCAAACAGG
rnacentral:rRNA from 1 species